rnacentral:rRNA from 1 species
GAUGAACGCUGGCGGCGUGCCUAAUACAUGCAAGUCGAGCGAACAGACGAGGAGCUUGCUCCCCUGACGUUAGCGGCGGACGUGUGAGUAACACGUGGAUAACCUACCUAUAAGACUGGGAUAACUUCGGGAAACCGGAUCUAAUACCGGGUGAUAUAUUGAACCGCAUGGUUCAAUAGUGAAAGACGGUUUUGCUGUCACUUAUAGAUGGUUCCCGGUCGCAUUAGCUAGUUGGUAAGGUAACGGCUUACCAAGGCAACGAUGCGUAGCCGACCUGAGAGGGUGAUCGGCCACACUGGAACUGAGACACGGUCCAGACUCCUACGGGAGGCAGCAGUAGGGAAUCUUCCGCAAUGGGCGAAAGCCUGACGGAGCAACGCCGCGUGAGUGAUGAAGGUCUUCGGAUCGUAAAACUCUGUUAUUAGGGAAGAACAAAUGUGUAAGUAACUAUGCACGUCUUGACGGUACCUAAUCAGAAAGCCACGGCUAACUACGUG